CGCUGGCGGCGUGCCUAAUACAUGCAAGUCGAACGGUCUUUCUAUGGAAGCUUGCUUCCACUGAGAAGAUAGUGGCGAACGGGUGAGUAACACGUGGGUAACCUGCCCAUAAGAGGGGGAUAACAUCCGGAAACGGGUGCUAAUACCGCAUAGUUUUCUUGAUCGCAUGAUCGGGAAAGGAAAGACGGCCUUUGUGCUGUCGCUUAUGGAUGGACCCGCGGCGUAUUAGUUAGUUGGUGAGGUAACGGCUCACCAAGACGAUGAUACGUAGCCGACCUGAGAGGGUGAUCGGCCACAUUGGGACUGAGACACGGCCCAAACUCCUACGGGAGGCAGCAGUAGGGAAUCUUCCGCAAUGGACGAAAGUCUGACGGAGCAACGCCGCGUGAGUGAAGAAAGGUUUUCGGAUCGCAAAACUCUGUUGUCAGAGAAGAACAAGUUGGAGAGUAACUGCUCCAGCCUUGACGGUAUCUGACCAGAAAGCCACGGCUAACUACGUGCCAGCCGCCGC
rnacentral:rRNA from 1 species